rnacentral:rRNA from 1 species
CAAUAGCGUAUAUUAAAGUUGUUGCGGUUAAAAAGCUCGUAGUUGGAUUUCUGCUGAGGACGAUCGGUCCGCCCUCUGGGUGAGUAUCUGGCUCGGCCUUGGCAUCUUCUUGGAGAACGUUACUGCACUUGACUGUGUGGUGCGGUAUCCAGGACUUUUACUUUGAGGAAAUUAGAGUGUUUCAAGCAGGCGCACGCCUUGAAUACAUUAGCAUGGAAUAAUAAGAUAGGACCUUGGUUCUAUUUUGUUGGUUUCUAGAGCUGAGGUAAUGAUUAAUAGGGAUAGUUGGGGGCAUUCGUAUUUAACUGUCAGAGGUGAAGUUCUUGGAUUUGUUAAAGACGGACUACUGCGAAAGCAUUUGCCAAGGAUGUUUUCAUUGA